UACAGAGGUCUCAAGCGUUGUUCGGAUUCAUUGGGCGUAAAGGGUGCGUAGGUGGCGUCGUAAGUCAGGUGUGAAAUUUCGGAGCUUAACUCCGAAACUGCAUUUGAUACUGCGGUGCUUUGAGGACUGGAGAGGAGACUGGAAUUUACGGUGUAGCAGUGAAAUGCGUAGAGAUCGUAAGGAAGACCAGUGGCGAAGGCGGGUCUCUGGACAGUUCCUGACCACUGAGGCACGAAGGCCAGGGGAGCAAACGGG
rnacentral:rRNA from 1 species